GAUGAGGUACAUAUCUACAACUCCUCAGCCAUAAAAGAAGAAAGGAAGAAAGGAAGAAAUAACGCCAUUUGCAACAGCAUGGAUUCAACUAGAGAUUAUCACACUAAGUGAAGUAAGCCAGAAAGAGAAAGACAAAUACCAUAUGAUAUCACUUAUAGGUGGAACCUAAAAUACGGCACAAAUGAACUGUCUACAAAACGGAAACAUACUCACAGGCAGAGAGAUCAGACUUGUGCUUGUCAAGGGAGAGGAGAAAAGGGAGAGAGUUGGUCUGGGAAUUUGGGGAUAAACACCAAGGUCCGUAUGGUACACCGCAGGGAGCUAUAUCCAGUCUCCUGGGAUAAUCCAUAAUGGAAAAGAAUGUUUUAAAAAGAGAAUGUAGGCUAUUUUUGUGGACGUCACGUGUGCUGGCGCAUCUGGGAACGCGGGCGGGAAGGAACCGGGAAGACCUAGCUUAAGUUCUGUGGAUUUGAACCUCUGCAUUUCUAACCUAAGAUCUCGAAAUGCAUCGCGAUUCCUGUCCAUUGGACUGUAAACUUUACGUAGAUAAUCUUGGAAACAAUGGUAACAAGACUGAAUUGGAACGAGCUUUUGGCUAUUAUGGACCACUCCGAAGUGUGUGGGUUGCUAGAAACCGUCCUGGCUUUGCUUUUGUUGAAUCUGAAGAUCCCCCAGAUGCAGCUGAUGCUGUCCCAGAGCUAGACGGAGAGAACACUGAGCGGCUGUCGAGAAGGGUGGAACUAUCCAAUGGUGAAAAGGGAAGUCGAAAUCGUGGCGCACCUCCUUCUUGGGGGGUCGUCGCCCUUGAGAUGAUUAUCGGAGGAGGAGGAGUCCACCUCCACGCGGAUCUCCAAGACGGAGAAGCUUCUCCUGCAGCCGGAGCAGGUCCCUUUCCAGAGAUAGGAGAAGAGAGAGAUCACUGUCCCGGGAGAAGCUUCUCCUGCAGCCGGAGCAGGUCCCUUUCCAGAGAUAGGAGAAGAGAGAGAUCACUGUCCCGGGAGAGAAGUCACAAAGCCAUCCUGAUCUUUCUCUAGGUCUCACACAGCAGAUCUAGGUCAAAUGAAAGGAAAUAGAAGAUCAGUUUUCAAGAGGAGUGGUGUACAGGAAACAACUUCAUUUGACAGGAGUAAGUACAGAAAAUGCAAGUUUUGUUUGAGACUGCAUAAGCUUGGUGCAUUUUUUAAAUGUUUUAGCUGUUCACAUUGUUUGUCUGUCUGGAACAGUGACACACAAAGGUGUAAUUCUCUAUGGUUUGAAAUGGAUCAUAUGAGGCAUGUAAUAUCAAAAAUUGUUACUUUAAAUGUUCCCUUAAACAAAUUUAAUUUGCUUUGAAUUUUAGUCUUGCAUAGGCUGAUAAUAAACCUCUAACUCCUGCCCA
rnacentral:lncRNA from 1 species